ACUUGUUCUGUGCACAUGGUAAGAGGCAUGGGGCAAGGAGAAGAAGGCACUGAAGAGUGACUCAUCACAGAGACCCGUAACCUCCAUUUACAUCAUAUAAGUCAAGUAAUGGAAUCUCUGAGUCCUUCCAUCACCCUUUACAAGCAUGACUGGCAUCCUAAAACCUGACUAACUGGAGCGUCUGACUGAAGAGAUCACAGAAUGAUCCAUGUUGUCAAACACUGGCAGAUC
rnacentral:lncRNA from 1 species